GCGAACCGAGGGGCGGGAGGGGCGAGCCUGGGAGUGCCCUUGAGCCUCCAUCAGGGUGGUGGGACUCAGAGAAUGAGGUGAUGGUGGUGAUGGUGGUGUGGUGGAGACGAAACUGUUGGAGGAAGCUGGUGGUGAUGAUAGUGAUGAUGUGAAGUGGCUAUAUGACGAAGGUGGUGAAGGUGGUGGUGAUGCAUGCUGAGGGCUAAAGGGAGUGUGAAUAGGGGUUUGACUAGGGGUGUUCCUGUACCCUUGGUCAUUGUCCUGGUGGAGAAGUUUGAAGUACAGGUAAGGGUUAUCAGUGUUCCCUCUGUAGGAUGGAUGCGAGGCGGGAACAGGGGACUUAUUGAGGUCAGAGAAUGGCUGGGAGUAACCUGACGGCGGCGCUGAAGGAGGGUGGGAAGCGGAAGGGUUGUCUUUGUUACUAUUAUUUGUGUGGAAAGAAUGUGUGGCUUUCUGGGCCUCGGAAAUGUACGAAGAUUGAUGGUUUCUUGGAUUACGAUGAUUAGAAAACGGGUCAUUUUUUGAAACAAAGGAUGGUGGGAGUUUGGGGGUGAUUAAACUAGAAUCAUGACUAUUUAGAUUAGCGCGACUAGAAGGCUUAAGAUUGGCCGCCGAAGUGGAGUACUGAACGAAACUGGUGAUAGCUGGCAACCCACCACCACCACCACCACCACCACUAACUGGGUUUAGAUGCUUCGAGACACGUGGCGGAGCGUUUCGAAUCACGCUACUCGAACCCUGACCGCUAGAUGGCAGGUGUACUCUGGGUAAUGAGGGUUUUUGGGCGUCAGUUGGACUUUGAGAGUGAGAAGGUGUGGUGUUGUGUGUGUGACUGAUCUUCGCCUCCACCUUCGACGUCUUAAAGGCUAUAGCAGUGACGAUAAACACAACAUCAACAACAGCAGCAUUCUGAGGACGGAUUGGCACUACAAAUCUCCUGUAUCACGUUUUCUUCGCAAAUGAGUCGCUUUGAAGUGGUGGGUAGAGAGAUGGACUGAGUGGGAAUGCUGAAGGUUGUAAUAAGUGUUUCGGAUUUGCUUGAGUGCUUUAAGGAAUGUAUACGAGAGUGUUUGAUUCGCGAAGAGAAGACGAGGAAGAAGAGGAGGAGAAGAAGAAAGAAGAAAGAAGAAGAAGAGGAAGAAGAAGAAGAAGAGGAAGAAGAAGACGAAGAAAAAGAAGAAGAAGACGAAGAAAAAGAAGAAGAAGAAGAAGAAGAAGAAGAAGAAGAAGAAAGCAAGAACGAUGAGGAAGAGAGAGGAAAUGUAGGAAAGAGAAAAAAAGGAGGAAGAGUUGGAAGAGGAGAUAUUAGAGGAGGAGGAAAAGGAGGAGGAGGAAGAAUAGAGUUAGAAAAAUGGAAGGUAGAAGAGAAGACACAACUAAUGAGGAGGAGGAUGGAGGAAGAAGAAGAAUAUAGGUCAGAAAAACGGAAGAUGGAAGAGGAGGCUGGGGAAAGAGAGGAAAGAGGGGGAGGAGGAGGAGGAGAGGGAGAAGAAUGAGAAAUUUAUGUUAGAAGUCGAGGAAGAGAUAGAGGAGGACUGAGAGGAAGAAGAAGGAGGAGGAAGAAUAUAUAGUAUUUGGAGGAAGAGAGGAACAAGCAAAGAAAACGGGAGCAAUAAGAAAAUAUUCGUGGUUAUUGUAGUGUAAAAUCCUUCGCCUUUUCUACCAUCAUAAAGGGGAAAUAUUUAGAUUAAAUUUUUGCCUAAGGUACGUGUGAGGAAUAUACAUUACGUCUCUCUCUCUCUCUCUCUCUCUCUCUCUCUCUCUCUCUCUCUCUCUCUCUCUCUCUCUCUCUCUCUCUCUCUCUCUUUCAAUGGUACUUAAAGUACAGUUGUUUACAAAACGAUAUUUUAAAAGCCGUAAAAGUGUGUGUGUGUGUGUG